CACAUCUAUCAACAGCUCCAAGCCUUUUCAAACACAAGACUUGCACUACAGAAAAUACAACUACUUGAAACCUAAAAUUAUCUCUGUCUUCACAGCUGUGUCCGUGGGUUGGUGUGAGCUGGUGCUGGCCCUGUGUCCUGUACUGUGGAGCACUCACUGGUGGGGCACCGUGGUGACAGCACAGCUGCCAAAGGCACUGGCCACGUCAGGUACUUCUUGUCACCAGUGUGUCUCUGUCAGCACUGAGCAUGGCUCUGGUGAACAACAUUCAAUUGUCACCUCACCACUGUCCAUUCCCAGGACAGGAGCUGAGAGACACAGGUGGCAUUUGUCCCCAGUUAUCUGUAUCAUCUCUGCAAAGGACAGCAUCCAGAGGUCAGCAAAGUCCCAGGAAAGUCUGCCCUUGACUCCAGGGACUCUUUGGUUGGUCUGCAGUCACUCCUGCUGGAUCCUGCUGCUGGAAUUGCCAACAAGGAUGCCAUGUGUGAAGCUGGUUCCCACACCCUGCUGCACACUGGCACAACAGGAACCCAGGAGACUGAGCCAAACAUCUGCUGCUGCGCAACAGCCCACAUUAGGAUGGCAGACACAUCCAUGAGGAUGGAAACGGGGACAGACCAUACUUCUCAUGUUAGCACGUUUUAGGAGAGGAUGCAGAAGGGUCCCUCUUGUCAUUUACAGCCUGAAGAGCCUGUGGCAGGUGCCCCUGGCUAACCUAGCUUGAGCCCUGCUGACAACAGAUACCCAGAGAGUGCCUGCUUUCUCUCUGCACUGGGAAAGGAACAGGGAGACUCCUCACUGUGGAAAUACUGCACAAGAAGCAGCACAGUCUGCUGGAAAAAUUUAGCUGGACCACUUGUCAUAUUGAAAGCUCUGUUCUCACCCAAAUAAAAACUUAAAAAUGUGCUGACUUCAAAAGAAAUUGCAAGAUAUUACGUUUUUCUAUUUUUUUUUCAGGGAGUUUUUUUUUCCGGCUGGGCUUUGAUUUGUC